GUGGGGGCUGUGAGGAGGGCUGGUGGUUGGUGGAGCUCAGCGCUGACCGAUCCAGUUUUAGGACCUCUCGGCCGGUAUAACGCUGACCCUGUCGGCUGUAGGAUCGGUGCAGAGACCCGGCAGGGGCUCAUCAGCCCCGUGCUCCAUCCUGGAGCCUGAGAAAGGGAUAUGAGUCCAGUCCCAGCCUAAUAGAAGCUGAGAGAAACGGUGCUAAAGCCGCCCUGCUGCGUGGCCCGAGCACUGCAAGUGGUAUUUGUUACGUGUACGAGUGGUUGCAGGGGCAGGACUGGACCUUAGCCCUCAGCAAACAUCCACGUUGCUGUUCUGGGGUCAGCUGAGUUUCUGCUGCCAGUGGCUUGGAAAUGAGGGAAGGUUUCAGCAUGAGGCACCCAGGCCCUGCUGCAGGCAGGCGUUCAGCUGCUGGGAAAAGUGAACACAAACUGCUGUGUUUUUGUUUUGUUUAAGGCUGGCUGUAAAUCCUUGCUGCCAGCACUCUGACAACAGUUUGUAUCUCUGUGGCUGCUUCUUAAAGUAGCUUAAAUGGAAAUGCUGUAGGAAUGAUGAACUGGAUGAGGAGCUACGAGAUACGGUUUAGUGGCUUGUGAUAGUAUUGGUAGUGGCAGGAUGGUUGGACUAGAUCUUGUAGGUCCUUUCCAACAUUGUAAUUCUAUGAUCCUAUGAAAGAAGGAGCCUUCCCUGGUAGGUAAUGUGCUUCACACUGGGAGGUGAGGUAGGCAGCAAUGUCUGCCUGGCACUCCUGGGUGGGAAGAGUUGGCUUUAACUUGUCCCUGUGCUACCAAACCCAGUAGUCUGGAGAUGGCUUAGGAACAGUCGUCCCUUCGCAAACUGCUCCUAUCUCUGCCACUCCUUAAUGUGCUGCCCUACCACUUCUUUGUAAGGCCACCUCCAACAUAAGUCUUGAUUUCACCUAUGCUUUUACUUGUGCCUUUCCUUCCUGGUCCCAGUUUCCCAUGUUUUGGUGUCACAGGUGCUUCUGCUUCUAAGCCCCUACCUCAGAGCUGCGCUUCAUGGGCAGCAGCUGCCUGGCAGUGUGGUUUCAGAUCAGAAUUUAAUGCAGUGCUGAUUGAUCACUGCUCCGAUUGCUUCUGGCUGGAGCUGUCGGGGCUCAUGAUAGAUUCUCUCGCUCUCUUUUUCCAGAUCAUCAGCGUUCAUUGAUAUAGCAAGCCUCUCCACUGCUGACCAGACUCAUACAUUUGCCUCCUGCUUUGAGAUCCACCCUGUCAGCCCCUGUACUGCCUUUCUGAGUGAGUGGAGCUUCUGACACUCCUGACACGCUGGAUCUGCAUCUCCAUUGCAAUCUAAUGCACGAAGGGAAGACAAGAGAGGUAUUGGAAGGAUACUAUUGGAAGACACUCCACCAAACACUGGAAAACAGAAUUUAGGACUACAAGAGAGAUUUCUUCUCAUCGGCUCCAAACACCUGCAGACCAGUGAGUGCUGCUGACUGCUGGAGAAGAGGCUCUGGAGCAAUCUCCCAGAAGGAGAACUGGAGGAAAACCUUUGUUUCCAGGUAGAAAUCUGAAUCUGCAAUCAGGCUGUGUUGGUCCUAGAGGUGAGGGUGCAUUGAAUCCCUACAGGCAACCCUGCAUAACGUUGUUUGAACCUUGUGGACUGAAUCACAACAGAUUUGCAUCAAUGCCAACGUGAAUAAAACUUGCAAGCAGGAGCUGAGACCCCUAAAGGGCUCUGUGAUUGAGCACGUCCUCCUUCCAGGCAGCCACGCUGAGAUAUUCAUGGGAACAGCAGGUGCUGAAGCCAGCUGAAGCCCUGGGAAGCUUGGGGCAGUGAUAGAAGCACAGAAUAUUGGACAGAGA